rnacentral:rRNA from 1 species
UACGUAGGGUGCAAGCGUUAUUCGGAUUUAUUGGGCGUAAAGCGCAUGUAGGCGGUUCGGUAAGUCUGGUGUGAAAGCCCUCGACUCAAUCGAGGAAGUGCAUUGGAUACUGUCGAACUGGAGUGCAGGAGGGGUGAGCGGAAUUCCAGGUGUAGAGGUGAAAUUCGUAGAUAUCUGGAGGAACAACAGCGGCGAAGGCGGCUCACUGGACUGUAACUGACGCUCAGAUGCGAUAGUGUGGGGAG